rnacentral:rRNA from 1 species
AAUACGUGCGAAGCGCCCGAAGCCGCGAGGCGACGGGGCGUUCUCGCCGGAUGUAGGAACCGACCCGGGGACCGCCGGGGCAACCCGGCGCCCCCGAGACGGGGCGAACCACGGUGAAAUGACGGAUCGUCGGCCCCGCGCCGGCGACUCGCCGAAUGAGUUUCUGACCUAUCAACUCGAGACGGCGGGGUAGAGGCCCGCCGCGGUAACGACGGGUAACGGGGAAUCAGGGUUCGAUUCCGGAGAGGGAGCCCGAGAAACGGCUACCACUUCCAAGGAAGGCAGCAGGCGCGCAACUUACCCUAAUCUCGAUUCGAGGAGGUAGUGACAAGAAAUACCGAUGCGGGACCCUACGGGUGCCGCGUUCGGAAUGAGUACGAUUCGAACCACCUAACGAGGAACGAUCGGAGGGCAAGUCUGGUGCCAGCAGGCCGCGGGUAAUUCCAGCUCCAAUAGCGUACGUUAAAGUUGCUGCAGUUAAAAAGCUCGUA